rnacentral:rRNA from 1 species
ACCCGCUGAACUUAAGCAUAUCAAUAAGCGGAGGAAAAGAAACCAACCGGGAUUACCUUAGUAACGGCGAGUGAAGCGGUAACAGCUCAAAUUUGAAAUCUGGCUCUCACCGGAGUCCGAGUUGUAAUUUGUAGAAGAUGCUUUGGGUGCUAGGCCUGGCCUAAGUUCCUUGGAACAGGACGUCAUAGAGGGUGAGAAUCCCGUAUGCGGCCGGUGCCUGUGCCCGUGUAAAGCUCUUUCGACGAGUCGAGUUGUUUGGGAAUGCAGCUCAAAAUGGGUGGUAAAUUUCAUCUAAAGCUAAAUAUUGGCCAGAGACCGAUAGCGCACAAGUAGAGUGAUCGAAAGAUGAAAAGCACUUUGGAAAGAGAGUUAAACAGUACGUGAAAUUGUUGAAAGGGAAGCGCUUGCAACCAGACUUGGGCGUUGGUGAUCAUCCGGAGUUUUCUCUGGUGCACUCGGCAAUGCACAGGCCAGCAUCGGUUCGGGUGGUUGGAUAAAGGCCUAGGGAACGUAGCUCCUCUCGGGGAGUGUUAUAGCCCUGGGCGCAAUGCAGCCUACCUGGACCGAGGACCGCGCUUCGGCUAGGAUGCUGGCGUAAUGGUUGUAAGCGACCCGUCUUGAAACACGGACCAAGG